rnacentral:rRNA from 1 species
CCUACGGGCGGCAGCAGUGAGGAAUAUUGGUCAAUGGACGAAAGUCUGAACCAGCCAUGUAGCGUGAAGGAUGACGGCCCUAUGGGUUGUAAACUUCUUUUAUAAAGGAAUAAAACGAGGCACGUGUGCCUUUUUGCAAGUACUUUAUGAAUAAGGAUCGGCUAACUCCGUGCCAGCAGCCGCGGUAAUACGGAGGAUUCGAGCGUUAUCCGGAUUUAUUGGGUUUAAAGGGAGCGUAGAUGGGUUGUUAAGUCAGUUGUGAAAUUGUGCGGCUCAACCGUGAAAUUGCAAUUGAUACUGGCAGUCUAGAGUACAGUUGCGGUAAGCGGAAUUCGUGGUGUAGCGGUGAAAUGCAUAGAGAUCACAAAGAACACCGAUUGCGAAGGCAGCUUACUAAACUGUGACUGACAUUGAUGCACGAAAGUGUGGGUAUCAAACAGGAUUAGAUACCCUUGUAGUC